AGAGUUUGAUCCUGGCUCAGGAUGAACGCUAGCGGCAGGCUUAACACAUGCAAGUCGAGGGGCAGCGGGGAGGAAGCUUGCUUUCUCCGCCGGCGACCGGCGCACGGGUGAGUAACACGUAUGCAACCUGCCCCUGUCAGGGGGACAACCCGCCGAAAGGCGGGCUAAACCCGCGUACAUGCCACCGGGGCAUCCCGGAGGCAGGAAAGGCUUCGGCCGGACAGGGAUGGGCAUGCGGCGCAUUAGGCAGUAGGCGGGGUAACGGCCCACCUAACCGACGAUGCGUAGGGGUUCUGAGAGGAAGGUCCCCCACACUGGUACUGAGACACGGACCAGACUCCUACGGGAGGCAGCAGUGAGGAAUAUUGGUCAAUGGUCGGGAGACUGAACCAGCCAAGCCGCGUGAGGGAUGAAGGUACAGAGUAUCGUAAACCUCUUUUGUCAGGGAACAAAGGCGGGGACGUGUCCCCGGAUGAGUGUACCUGAAGAAAAAGCAUCGGCUAACUCCGUGCCAGCAGCCGCGGUAAUACGGAGGAUGCGAGCGUUAUCCGGAUUUAUUGGGUUUAAAGGGUGCGCAGGCGGUCUGUUAAGUCAGCGGUCAAAGCCCGGGGCUCAACCCCGGCCCGCCGUUGAAACUGGCAGUCUCGAGUUGGAGAGAAGUAUGCGGAAUGCGCGGUGUAGCGGUGAAAUGCAUAGAUAUCGCGCAGAACUCCGAUUGCGAAGGCAGCAUGCCGGCUCCACACUGACGCUGAGGCACGAAAGCGUGGGUAUCGAACAGGAUUAGAUACCCUGGUAGUCCACGCAGUAAACGAUGAAUGCUGGCUGUCCGGGGGGACUGACCCCUGGGUGGCGAAGCGAAAGCGAUAAGCAUUCCACCUGGGGAGUACGCCGGCAACGGUGAAACUCAAAGGAAUUGACGGGGGCCCGCACAAGCGGAGGAACAUGUGGUUUAAUUCGAUGAUACGCGAGGAACCUUACCCGGGCUCAAACGGGGAGUGACUCAGGCAGAGACGCCUGUUUCCCACGGGACACUCCCCGAGGUGCUGCAUGGUUGUCGUCAGCUCGUGCCGUGAGGUGUCGGCUUAAGUGCCAUAACGAGCGCAACCCCCGCGUGCAGUUGCUAACAGUCAACGCUGAGGACUCUGCACGGACUGCCGGCGCAAGCCGCGAGGAAGGCGGGGAUGACGUCAAAUCAGCACGGCCCUUACGUCCGGGGCGACACACGUGUUACAAUGGGUGGUACAGCGGGAAGCCAGGCGGCGACGCCGAGCGGAACCCGAAAUCCACUCUCAGUUCGGAUCGGAGUCUGCAACCCGACUCCGUGAAGCUGGAUUCGCUAGUAAUCGCGCAUCAGCCAUGGCGCGGUGAAUACGUUCCCGGGUCUUGUACACACCGCCCGUCAAGCCAUGGGAGCCGAGGGCGCUUGAAGUGCGUCGCCGCGAGGCGCGCCCUAGAGCGAAAUCGGUGACUGGGGCUAAGUCGUAACAAGGUAACC
rnacentral:rRNA from 1 species